rnacentral:lncRNA from 1 species
GCGGUUGCCGCCUCCCGCUGUCCAGCAGGCAAGUCAAACAACCAUCGCCUGGGUUUGUCACCGUCGCAAGGUCGGGUUCGCCGUCGUCGCAAGGUCGGGUUCGCGGCGUUCGCCACUGUCAAAAGCUUGGGUUCCCCACCGUCGCAACUCGCAACUCGUUUGGUUCACCACCGUCACAUGCUUGUAGCACUGCAGUUCCUCUAUUCAUCAUCAUCAGCUCCUCUAUUCGUUUUAUUCACCACACACUUGCGUAUUUGCGGUUUUAUAAUUAAAUUAUUUACAGUCAUCAUACUUUGCUCACUUUACUUACCAUAUAUAAUACUUGAUUAUUUCAAUAAUAUCUCGCUUUAGUUGCAUAUUUAAUACUUAAUUAAUUUCAA